GACAGAGGGUGCAAACGUUGUUCGGAAUUACUGGGCGUAAAGCGCGUGUAGGCGGCUAAGUAAGUCGGGCGUGAAAUCCCACGGCUCAACCGUGGAAGUGCACUCGAAACUGCAUAGCUAGAGUCCUGGAGAGGAAGGUGGAAUGCUUGGUGUAGAGGUGAAAUUCGUAGAUAUCAAGCGGGACACCGGUGGCGAAGGCGGCCUUCUGGACAGUGACUGACGCUGAGACGCGAAAGCGUGGGGAGCAAACAGGG
rnacentral:rRNA from 1 species